rnacentral:misc_RNA from 1 species
GUAGGUGAACCUGCGGAAGGAUCAUUAAUAAAGGUGAGGUGCCCUUCGGGGCGCCUCUACACCUCCAUCCUAUGUCUACUUACUAUUGUUGCUUUGGCGGGCCGCGGGGGCUUCGGCUCUCCCGUCGGUUUCGGCUGACGUGUGCCUGCCAGAGUCACCUAAAACUCUGUUUAACAGUGUCGUCUGAUUUAUAUAAUAAAUAAGUAAAAACUUUCAACAACGGAUCUCUUGGUUCUAGCAUCGAUGAAGA